UACGUAGGGGGCAAGCGUUAUCCGGAUUCACUGGGUGUACAGGGAGCGUAGACGGCCAUGCAAGCCUGGAGUGAAAGCCCGGGGCCCAACCCCGGGACUGCUCUGGGAACUGUGCGGCUGGAGUGCGGGAGGGGCAGGCGGAAUCCCUGGUGUAGCGGUGAAAUGCGUAGAUAUCAGGAGGAACACCGGCGGCGAAGGCGGCCUGCUGGACCGCGACUGACGUUGAGGCUCGAAAGCGUGGGGAGCAAACAGG
rnacentral:rRNA from 1 species